rnacentral:rRNA from 1 species
GUCGACGGUAGAGUAGCAAUACUCGAGAGUGGCGAACGGGUGAGUAAUAUAUCGGAACGUGCCCAGUCGUGGGGGAUAACGUAGAGAAAUUUACGCUAAUACCGCAUACGAUCUACGGAUGAAAGCGGGGGAUUCGCAAGAACCUCGCGCGAUUGGAGCGGCUGAUAUCAGAUUAGGUUGUUGGUGAGGUAAAAGCUCACCAAGCCGACGAUCUGUAGCUGGUUUGAGAGAACGACCAGCCACACUGGGACUGAGACACGGCCCAGACUCCUACGGGAGGCAGCAGUGGGGAAUUUUGGACAAUGGGCGAAAGCCUGAUCCAGCAAUGCCGCGUGCAGGAAGAAGGCCUUCGGGUUGUAAACUGCUUUUGUACGGAACGAAACGGUCCUUUCUAAUAAAGAGGGCUAAUGACGGUACCGUAAGAAUAAGCACCGGCUAACUACGUGCCAGCAGCCGCGGUAAUACGUAGGGUGCGAGCGUUAAUCGGAAUUACUGGGCGUAAAGCGUGCGCAGGCGGUUAUGUAAGACAGUUGUGAAAUCCCCGGGCUCAACCUGGGAAUUGCAUCUGUGACUGCAUAGCUAGAGUACGGUAGAGGGGGAUGGAAUUCCGCGUGUAGCAGUGAAAUGCGUAGAUAUGCGGAGGAACACCGAUGGCGAAGGCAAUCCCCUGGACCUGUACUGACGCUCAUGCACGAAAGCGUGGGGAGCAAACAGGA